rnacentral:lncRNA from 1 species
UGUGGAUUCAAUCUGACUCGCUACUUUUUACAUAUUUUUUAAUUUUUAUUGAAGUCAAAAUUAAUUUGAUAAUCAUGGUAUCCUAACGAUAACAUCACGACUCUAUCAGGCAGUAUGGUGCAUCUAGAGCCCAUGUCAAAAGAUCUAAUCAUGGAUGAUAGAGAGGUAGUAGCACUGCCCAUAUAUCUGUGUCCUUCUUGAGAUCCAUCUGUCGGAGAUGGGCCUUACUCGGGCCAGAAGAUGGAUCCCUCCAGUGCGGAGCACGCAUGUUGUGGAGUCAAGGGGUCUGUUGUUAAGUGGUGGAGUCUGAUAUGCAUAUAGAUCUUAGGGUGCUAGGCAUAGGUAGGGGGAGGCUGGCCGUGUGGCUCAUGCGCAUGGUCCACACGAUCUUCACACGAUCCAUGGAAGAAUGCGAAUGCACGGGUAUGUGCCCGACGUGUGGGGACGAGUAGGAUUCGCGCUGGAUGCAUGGAUGUGUGGGCAUGCGAGCGUGGAUGCACGACGCACAGGUGAGCGUGGGAGAGUGCAACAUGGGGUGCUGUGUGCGAGCGUGAUGCACGACAGGCAUGCUGUGGGCACACGCUAUUCGAGUGCUGGAUGGGCACAUGUGAAACUUUCUUCUGUGAAGAACUCCUCAUGUCAAAAGCCUUCCUGAUGCACCUCAAAGUCUGUGACCUAUUAAAAGACCUUUUUCAGCCAUCCAUAAAAGCCCUCUAGCAUGAUCCAUAAAAGGAGAUGAGUUGCAAGGUUUUUUAAGUGAGAGAGAAAUUGUAAAACAUAGAGAGAGAGGAUGUGCAGAUAGGUGCUGUUUUUGCAGAUGCACAAGAGAGGAAGGGCCGUGUGUUUGGUGUGCGAGAUCUUGGAUGUGGGAUCAUUAUUCAUUGCAUCCAAAGGACUGCAUGAGAGAGGUUCUUCUUAUUUUUCUCUCCCUUGUAAACUCUCUAUAAUUGUGAAAGAAAUAUUAUAUUCUUUGUGUGACCUUGGACGUAAGAGCAGGAGACUUUAAACCACAUAAGUCCCUGUGUUUUAUGCUUGUGUCUAAUUUUUUAAAGUUCCUUCUCGCUUCUUUCACGUCCCUAUGUAUCUAGUAUGCACAUCAUUCCCUAAUAACUGGUAUCAAAGCUCUUAAGUUUGAGGAAAAGAGUGGAAGCAAUGACGGCUGAAAAAAGAAAGAAUAAGAUUGACAGAUUUGAUGGGAAGGACUUCUAUUUCUAAAAGAUGUAGAUCAAAGACUAUUUGUAUCAGAAAAAGCUUCAUCUACCUCUUUAAGGUAAGAAGCCUAUCGGGAUGUCACAAGCUGAUUGGGAGUUGAUGGACUGCCAAGCCUU